CUGCGAUUCUCCGAUAUCGGUGAUUUCUGUGAAUGCUACUUUUCAGUAUCUGCUAUUCUUAACUGUGAUUUGUCGCAGUUAAGGAACGUAGGUCGUGUAUCCCUCCGCCACUGCUAUUUCUGCGACUUCUGCGAUUUCUGUGACUCCUGCGAUUUCUGCGACUUACCACCGUAUGAAAAAGUUAUAUGAAAAAGUUACAUCUGCCCACACAGAAAAUUGCAUCCCAACAAACCUGUCAUUGGUACCCGAACUACAUUUCAGUCACUCAGUAAAUUGAUAACUCAACAGAUCUGGGGAAAUUACCAGUGCGUCUUUAGACCGUUUUCGUCAGCCGAGAGACACAGUUCUGACUCUUGAUUACUGGUUGCUGUACGUAUCUAUCCACAUCAAGGCUGUUGAGAGAGACUCGUGAAGAUUCAAGACAGCUCCUAGAGGAUUUGCAGUUUAAAAGUGACAUAAUUGUGAAAUAAGUGUGCAGAUGAGUGAUUAAACUGUGUUUUAUUGAAGUUGUUAUGCGAUUUUAUAGGAAUAAUAAAUGUUUAAAUACAGUGAGUGAAUA